rnacentral:rRNA from 1 species
CUACGGGGCGCUGCAGUGAGGAAUAUUGCACAAUGGGGGGAACCCUGAUGCAGCAACGCCGCGUGGAGGAUGACGCAUUUCGGUGUGUAAACUCCUUUUAUAUGUCAAGAAAAUGACGGUAGCAUAUGAAUAAGCACCGGCUAACUCCGUGCCAGCAGCCGCGGUAAUACGGAGGGUGCAAGCGUUACUCGGAAUCACUGGGCGUAAAGGACGCGUAGGAGGGUUGGAAAGUCAGGUGUGAAAUCCUACAGCUUAACUGUAGAACUGCACUUGAAACUUCUAAUCUAGAGUAUGGGAGGGGGAAAUGGAAUUAGUGGUGUAGGGGUAAAAUCCGUAGAUAUCACUAGGAAUACCUAAAGCGAAGGCGAUCUCCUGGAACAUUACUGACGCUAAGGCGUGAAAGCGUGGGGAGCAAACAGGAUUAGAUACCCGGGUAGUC